UACGUAGGGCGCAAGCGUUAUCCGGAAUUAUUGGGCGGAAAGAGCUCGUAGGCGGUUUGUCGCGUCUGCCGUGAAAGUCCGGGGCUCAACUCCGGAUCUGCGGUGGGUACGGGCAGACUAGAGUGAUGUAGGGGAGACUGGAAUUCCUGGUGUAGCGGUGAAAUGCGCAGAUAUCAGGAGGAACACCGAUGGCGAAGGCAGGUCUCUGGGCCGAUACUGACGCUGAGGAGCGAAAGCGUGGGGAGCGAACAGG
rnacentral:rRNA from 1 species